rnacentral:rRNA from 1 species
GUGGGGAAUAUUGCACAAUGGACGAAAGUCUGAUGCAGCAACGCCGCGUGGAGGAUGACACAUUUCGGUGCGUAAACUCCUUUUAUAUGGGAAGAUAAUGACGGUACCAUAUGAAUAAGCACCGGCUAACUCCGUGCCAGCAGCCGCGGUAAUACGGAGGGUGCAAGCGUUACUCGGAAUCACUGGGCGUAAAGAGCGUGUAGGCGGGUAGUUAAGUCAGAAGUGAAAUCCAAUAGCUCAACUAUUGAACUGCUUUUGAAACUGAUUACCUAGAAUAUGGGAGAGGUAGAUGGAAUUUCUGGUGUAGGGGUAAAAUCCGUAGAGAUCAGAAGGAAUACCGAUUGCGAAGGCGAUCUACUGGAACAUUAUUGACGCUGAGACGCGAAAGCGUGGGGAGCAAACAGGAUUAGAAACCCUAGUAGUCC